GUCAAGCUACUCUACAUAUUGGUAGGCUAUGACCCUUUCUUGAAGAUCCCCUCUUCUUCAUCAUCGUUGCCUUCUUGUUCUCUCUCGCCUCACGUUCGUGACCUUGCCAGCACCAUCAUUGUCCGUCGAGCUCUGAUCUAGCCUAAAAGUCCGCCUCCACAUCAUUCUUAUCUUCUCAAAUUUUGCCUCAUGUUUGUGUCCUUGCGAGCGCCAUUUUCAUCCAUCGAGCUUCGUCUCCUCCUUCUCAGCUUCUUGAAUCUUGCCUCGCAUUCAUGCCCUUACGAGUGUGAGUAAAGAGAGCACCUCUCAUUAACCAGUCGAGCUCUAUCCUCCCCCAGGUUCAUCAUCCCUGCCUCCCUGCUUCCUCGGCAGUCGGUAAUAUGAACUCUAAAUCAGAUUCAAAUCUAUAUAGCUCACUCCCUCUGGUCUUUAAGAUUUUGACUAAUCUCUGCUCUGCUCCUCACAGGAGUCAUAUGUGCAACUGUGCUAGACUUGGAAUGUGGUCUUAUGGUCUUGUGGAAUCUAGAUUGGAUUAGGAGUCGCACAUGCAACUGUACUGGCCUGCCAUGGUAAUUCACUUCCUUGUCUUGUGAAGGAUGUUCACUGCCUUUUGCAAGCGAUUGAGGAUAAUAAAUAGUUCUAAAGCAAUUGGCAUAGCACCAAGAAUAAUGGAGAAGAGCAAAAGCCAAAACUAGGGCAAUGCUAUAAUUGAUGAUACACACAAAAGGUAUCUUUCUUCCCUGUUUAUGUAUAAUUAUCACAACCCUUCUAAUGAGAAAUCCGACUUGUUUAAGUAUAAUUAUCACAAUCCUUCUAAUGAGAAAUCCGAGCGUUGUAGAUUUAUGUAGAUGAUGAGGCUAAAUUGACUCUUCAUGGUCUAGUACAGCACUACAUCAAAUUGAAGGAGCCAGAAAAAAACCAUAAGUUGAAUGACCUUCUUGAUGUCCUGGACUUCAACCAAGUGGUCAUUUUUGUUAAAAGUGUCAGUAGAGCAGCAGAGUUGAACAAGUUGCUUGUAGAGUGCAACUUUCCACCAAUCUGCAUACAUUCAAAAAUGUCACAAGAAGAAAGGUGCCGCGGUGCAGUCAUGUGUAGGCUUCAAUUUUUCUGGCGGGUCCAAUUUAUGAGCCACAAACCAACACGUGCAGGUUAGCAAGGGACUUCUUUUCAUCCUUGAACAUGAUCUGAAGAACAGAGAACAGAAUAGUGCGAGGUGUUCAACUCUGAAUGUGUUUUGCCAGCCUUAUCUAUUUUAAAAUUUAGGCUUUGAUAUCAGCCAAAUGUUUAAAGUAAGAGGUGAAGAGGAGGCUUCCUAAUGGACAGAUUUAGGAUGUGGCAAACUUGAUAGAUUUCACUUUUGAAGAACUAAAGGUAGCACUAGAAAUUUCAGAGCUGAAUCUGUAUUAGGAGAGGGAGACUUUGGCUAGGCGUAUAAAGGUUGGCUUAAAGGGAUUAUAUUAUGUGCUUUAAAUUUGAUAGGGAUUUUAAUGUGGCAAACUUAUGUUAUAUUGUGUACUUUAAAUUUCUUAUAUAGUUCUUGUUUAUGGAUUGAAUUAUUUUCUAAUAAAAAUUUCAUUUGUGAGUCAAUUGCUUGAUUGAAUUGGAUUUAUUUAUAACUAAAAUUUUGAUUCUUACAAAACCAAUGUGCAAUUAAAUGAAGAAAUAAUAAGGAAAUUAUUCUUCUCCAAUUAAACCAAUUUGUGAGGAAAUAACGAGGAAUUGGCUCCUCACUAAAAUCAUUCCUCGCAAUAACCAUGCUAAAAAUAUAAUAUUAGCAAGGAAUUAGCAAGAAAAUUAUGGCCUUGCUACUAUUAGCUAAGAAAUUAAAUUCUCACUAAAUUAGCGAGGAAAGCACUAUUCCUCACUAAUUAUUAGCGACUCAUCAUUUAGCUACGAAUUUAGCAAGGAAAUUAUUUCCUCGCUAAAUCAUGAUUAGCGAGUAAUAAGUCAAAUUUAGCAAGGAAUAUAGUCCUUGCUAAAUCAUAAUUUUCUUGUAUUGUGUUAAGACUGUUUUGCCUGGCAUUGUUUCUCCUAAUCAAUAUCGUUUUGUGUUUGGGAGGCAUAGUUCAAAUAAUAUUAUUGCAGCCUUAGAAGUUAUUCAUUCUAUGCAAACUAUAAAGGGAAGAACGGUUUCAUGGCUAUUAAGAUUGAUUUGGAGAAAAUUUAUGGUAAAGUUAACUGGAGAUUUCUUUUAAACUGCCUGAAAGAGCUCAGUUUGCCAACAACUAUAGUAGAGGUUAUUCAUUAUUGUGUUUCCACUGCGAAUAUGCAACUUCUUUGGAAUAGGGACCACACUGAAUAUUUCAUUUCGACUCAUGGAAUCUGUCAAGGGGAUCCUAUUUCUCCUUACUUAUUUGUCAUCUGUAUGGAGAAACUUUCUCAUUUAUUCACUUGCGUAUGAAUUCUAGGGAAUGAAGACCAAUUAGACUCACUAAGAUCAAUUAGUCCCUUGAUCUCUCACUUAUUUUUUUACAAAUGAUAUUAUUAUUUUUGCGAAAGCUUCUUUAUAGCAAGCUGAAAUAAUUAUGCAAACCAUUAAUUGUUUUUGUGCUAGUUCGGAACUGAAAGUGAAUUCUAGCAAGAUUAGAGUGUUUUAUUCUCAUUACAUCAAUCAUAACAGAAGCAAUGAGAUUAACUCUAUGUUGGGAUUCAUGGAAACUGCAAAUCUUAGAAAGUAUUUAGGGGUUUCCUUAUUUCAUAUUCAGGUGAAAAAUGAUACUUUUGAGGAGGUUUUUGAUAAAGUCAAACAGCAUCUUACCUCUUGGAAGAUCAACCCGCUAUCUUUGGCAGAGCCAUGAUUAAUAGCAUGAAAGAGUUUGGUAAGCAUCUCUCGGGUCAAAACGAAGCUAUCAAAAAUAGUUGGAGAACUCCUGUUCAUGGUUGGGUAAAAGUGAACGUAGAUGGAGCCUUUGCCCAAGCUUCAAACUUAGUUGCGCAUGGAGGCCUGAUCAGGGACUCUGAUGUGACUUUUAUUCAAGGAUUCAUAUGCAAAUUAAAUACUAGGAAUGCUCUCUCAGUUGAAUUAUGGGCUUGUAUUCAUGGACUAAAGCUUGCAUGGAAAUUGGGUUAUUGCAAAAUUGAGCUUGAAUCUGACUCUAGGGAGGCUAUUGACUGCAUACAACGAGGAUGUGACUCAUUCCAUUUGGAAUAUGGAGUUAUUUCUGAAGCUCAAGUGCUUGCUCAACGUGACUGGGAGGUGCAGGUGCGGCAUGUUCCGAGAUGGAUUAAUGGACCUGCUAAUUGGUUAGCAAAAUAUGAAUUAGGAGCUUUGCUUGGAUUCUACCAGGUGAUUUAGAUUCCUGAAGGUCUUGCACAAAUUCUGAUAAGGAUUGUAAUAAUACCACUGGCUAUAUAGGCUAGUUGGUUUUGGACUUCGUCAUUUUAUCAAAAACCAAAAAACAAAAACAGAGAGAAAGAGAACAACUUCUACCAUAUGGGCAGCUAAUUUCCUAUAUGAAGAUCAGAAGAUAAGCUGCGGAAGAGAAAUGACUCUAAUAGUAGUCAUUAUUUUUGUUUAGAGAUCUGUAAAUGUUUGAAAUAAUAUUGAUCCGAAUAAAUUGGGUAA